UACAGAGGGGGCAAGCGUUGUUCGGAAUUACUGGGCGUAAAGGGCGCGUAGGCGGCCAACUAAGUCGGACGUGAAAUCCCUCGGCUUAACCGGGGAAUGGCGUCCGAUACUGGAUGGCUCGAGUUUGGGAGAGGGAUGCGGAAUUCCAGGUGUAGCGGUGAAAUGCGUAGAUAUCUGGAGGAACACCGGUGGCGAAGGCGGCAUCCUGGACCAACACUGACGCUGAGGAGCGAAAGCCAGGGGAGCAAACGGG
rnacentral:rRNA from 1 species